GAUGAACGCUGGCGGCGUGCCUAAUACAUGCAAGUCGAGCGAACAGACGAGGAGCUUGCUCCUCUGACGUUAGCGGCGGACGGGUGAGUAACAAGUGGAUAACCUACCUCUAAGACUGGGAUAACUUCGGGAAACCGGAGCUAAUACCGGAUAAUAUAUUGAACCGCAUGGUUCAAUAGUGAAAGACGGUUUUGCUGUCACUUAUAGAUGGAUCCGCGCCGCAUUAGCUAGUUGGUAAGGUAACGGCCUACCAAGGCAACGAUGCGUAGCCGACCUGAGAGGGUGAUCGGCCACACUGGAACUGAGACACGGUCCAGACUCCUACGGGAGGCAGCAGUAGGGAAUCUUCCGCAAUGGGCGCAAGCUUGACGGAGCAACGCCGCGUGAGUGAUGAAGGUCUUCGGAUUGUAAAACUCUGUUAUUAGGGAAGAACAAAUGUGUAAGUAACUAUGCCCGUCUUGACGGUACCUAAUCAGAAAGCCACGGCUAACUACGUG
rnacentral:rRNA from 1 species